rnacentral:rRNA from 1 species
UGGUGGGUAGUUUGACUGGGGCGGUCUCCUCCCAAAGCGUAACGGAGGAGCACGAAGGUUAGCUAAUCCUGGUCGGACAUCAGGAGGUUAGUGCAAUGGCAUAAGCUAGCUUGACUGCGAGCGUGACGGCGCGAGCAGGUGCGAAAGCAGGUCAUAGUGAUCCGGUGGUUCUGAAUGGAAGGGCCAUCGCUCAACGGAUAAAAGGUACUCCGGGGAUAACAGGCUGAUACCGCCCAAGAGUUCAUAUCGACGGCGGUGUUUGGCACCUCGAUGUCGGCUCAUCACAUCCUGGGGCUGAAGUAGGUCCCAAGGGUAUGGCUGUUCGCCAUUUAAAGUGGUACGCGAGCUGGGUUUAGAACGUCGUGAGACAGUUCGGUCCCUAUCUGCCGUGGGCGCUGGAGAAUUGAGG